UACGGAGGAUGCAAGCGUUAUCCGGAAUUAUUGGGCGUAAAGCGUCCGCAGGUGGUUUUACAAGUCUGCUGUCAAAGCGCGGAGCUUAACUUCGUAUCGGCAGUGGAAACUGUGGAACUAGAGUUUGGUAGGGGUCACGGGAAUUCCCAGUGUAGCGGUGAAAUGCGUAGAUAUUGGGAAGAACACCAGCGGCGAAAGCGCGUGACUGGGCCUGAACUGACACUCAUGGACGAAAGCUAGGGGAGCGAAUGGG
rnacentral:rRNA from 1 species